AGCGAACGCUGGCGGCAGGCCUAACACAUGCAAGUCGAACGAAGUCUUCGGACUUAGUGGCGGACGGGUGAGUAACACGUGGGAACGUGCCUUUAGGUUCGGAAUAACUCAGGGAAACUUGUGCUAAUACCGAAUGUGACCUUCGGGGGAAAGAUUUAUCGCCUUUAGAGCGGCCCGCGUCUGAUUAGCUAGUUGGUGAGGUAAAGGCCCACCAAGGCUACGAUCAGUAACUGGUGUGAGAGGAUGACCAGCCACAUUGGGACUGAGACACGGCCCGAACGCCUACGAGAGGCAGAAGGGGGGAAUCUUGCGCAAUAGAGGAAAGCCUGACGCAGCCAUGCCGCGUGGAUGAUGAAGGUCUUAGGAUUGGAAAAUCCUUUCACCGGUGAAGAUAAUGACUGUAGCCGGAGAAGAAGCCCCGGCUAACUUCGUGCCAGCCGCCGCCGUAACAC
rnacentral:rRNA from 1 species